rnacentral:rRNA from 1 species
GACGAACGCUGGCGGCGUGCUUAACACAUGCAAGUCGAACGAAGAGCGACGGAAGCUUGCUUCUAUCAAUCUUAGUGGCGAACGGGUGAGUAACGCGUAAUCAACCUGCCCUUCAGAGGGGGACAACAGUUGGAAACGACUGCUAAUACCGCAUACGAUCUAACCUCGGCAUCGAGGAUAGAUGAAAGGUGGCCUCUACAUGUAAGCUAUCACUGAAGGAGGGGAUUGCGUCUGAUUAGCUAGUUGGAGGGGUAACGGCCCACCAAGGCGAUGAUCAGUAGCCGGUCUGAGAGGAUGAACGGCCACAUUGAGACUGAGACACGGCCCAGACUCCUACGGGAGGCAGCAGUGGGGAAUCUUCCGCAAUGGACGAAAGUCUGACGGAGCAACGCCGCGUGAGUGAUGACGGCCUUCGGGUUGUAAAGCUCUGUUAAUCGGGACGAAAGGCCUUCUUGCGAAUAGUGAGAAGGAUUGACGGUACCGGAAUAGAAAGCCACGGCUAACUACGUG